rnacentral:lncRNA from 1 species
UGGAAGUAAUGUCAUAUUCAUAUAUUAUUGGGAGUAUUAUGUAUACUUAGAUUUGUAGUCAAUCAGACAUAAGCUUUGUAGUUGCAACAUUAAAAUGACAUCAAAGUAAUAUAGAAAUGGAACACUUGAAAGCUGCAAAGAAAGUUAUGAUAUAUCUAUAGGGGAACAAAGGAUCACAUGUUUACAUGUAGGAAAUUUGAUUAUCUUGAAGUGAUUAGAUAUUCAAGCUCUAAAAUUUUUGGAUGUGUAAAUACAAGGAAAAUCACUUACAACUAUGUCUUUCUUUUAGUUAGGGCAGUGUUAUUCAAAAUCGCUAAUGCGACACCAUGUUGAAAACCAAUGGCGAAUUUACUCGUUACCGCCCAUGGCAGUGGCGAUGCAGGUUUGCCACGACAACAUAUUGCGAACGCUUUCUGCAUCACGGGAUGCUAGUGAUGAACAAAGAUGAUGAAGAGAGAUGGAGAGAAGCAGGCUAUGCGAUGGUGGCGUGGUGAGGUGCAAUGAGGCUGUGAACGAAAAUCAUAAGCGCGUUGAGAUGAGUUAUGAGGAGUCCCCAUAACUUAAAUGAGUUGCGUGGAAACCCCGAUUUAGAAUAAGUAGAUGCAAUAAAACAUUAUAGCGAAU